rnacentral:rRNA from 1 species
UUACACAUGCAAGUCGAACGCGAAAGUGGGGGCAACCCUGCGAGUAGAGUGGCGAACGGGUGAGUAAUACAUCGGAACGUACCCAGGAGUGGGGGACAACCUCGAGAAAUCGAGGCUAAUACCGCAUACGUCCUGAGGGAGAAAGCGGGGGACUCGCAAGAGCCUCGCGCUCAUGGAUCGGCCGAUGUCGGAUUAGCUAGUUGGCGGGGUAAAAGCCCACCAAGGCUACGAUCCGUAGCUGGUUUGAGAGAACGACCAGCCACACUGGGACUGAGACACGGCCCAGACUCCUACGGGAGGCAGCAGUGGGGAAUUUUGGACAAUGGGGGCAACCCUGAUCCAGCCAUGCCGCGUGAGUGAAGAAGGCCUUCGGGUUGUAAAGCUCUUUCGGCCGGAACGAAAUCGCGUACGUGAAUAACGUGCGUGGAUGACGGUACUGGAAGAAGAAGCACCGGCUAACUACGUGCCAGCAGCCGCGGUAAUACGUAGGGUGCGAGCGU